rnacentral:rRNA from 1 species
CCUACGGGAGGCAGCAGUGAGGAAUAUUGGUCAAUGGACGAGAGUCUGAACCAGCCAAGUAGCGUGAAGGAUGACUGCCCUAUGGGUUGUAAACUUCUUUUAUAUGGGAAUAAAAUGUUCCACGUGUGGGAUUUUGUAUGUACCAUAUGAAUAAGGAUCGGCUAACUCCGUGCCAGCAGCCGCGGUAAUACGGAGGAUCCGAGCGUUAUCCGGAUUUAUCGGGUUUAAAGGGGGCGUAGGUGGAUUGUUAAGUCAGUUGUGAAAGUUUGAGGCUCAACCGCAAAAUUGCAGUUGAAACUGGCAGUAUUGAGGUCAGUAGAGGUAGGCGGAAUGCAUGGUGUAGCGGUGAAAUGCUUAGAUAUCACACAGAACUCCGAUUGCGAAGGCAGCUGACUGGACUGC